rnacentral:rRNA from 1 species
UACGGGGGGGGCAAGCGUUGUUCGGAAUUACUGGGCGUAAAGGGCGCGUAGGCGGUUUGCUAAGUUGAAUGUGAAAACUCUGGGCUUAACCCAGAGCCUGCAUUCAAUACUGGCAGGCUAGAGUUCUGGAGGGGAUAGCGGAAUUCCUGGUGUAGCGGUGAAAUGCGUAGAUAUCAGGAGGAACACCUGCGGUGUAGACGGCUUUCUGGACCAUUGUUGACGCUGAGACACGAAAGCGUGGGUAGCAAACAGG